ACCAGCUGAUGAGUCCCAAAUACGACGAAACGCGCGUUCUGGAU
rnacentral:hammerhead_ribozyme from 1 species